UGAUUUUAAGAAAAAAGUAUACAACGAACCUUGUUUGUUAAAGGCCAUUUUCAUCUCCCUCAUUGGCAGACUAAGGUUCCCCAGAGCUGUCCCAGGAUAGGAAGGUCCUUGGCAAUAAUAUCCCAAUUGACAGAAACAAAGAGUGGACCACAGAAAUGGAACAGGACUUAACAAGAAUGAUGAAUAGUCACCAUUCAUUCAUUCAUUAUUUGAUUCAGAAAAUGGUCUUGCACAGAAGCAGCGAACACCUCGCCGAAGAUGUCAGGAGCCCAAAAUGUUGAGUAGCCCUGAGGACACCAUGUACUAUAACCAGUUAAAUGGAACUCUAGAAUAUCAAGGGAGCAAGAGGAAGCCAAGAAAACUUGGCCAAAUCAAAGUGCUUGAUGGGGAAGAUGAAUAUUACAAAUCUCUGUCACCUGUGGACUGUAUCCCUGAGGAAGACAACUCAGUCCACCCUUUCUUUUUCUCUUCAUCUUCAAAAGGGGCAUCUUUUGCUCAACCCUGAGCUAUACCUUCUGCCUCCCAAGUCUGUUGAGGUAAAAAGAAAGGAAUGAAUUGGAAAGAAAAUUUGGACCCAUCAGAGUUCGUGUCACAUCAUUUUGUUACUGUCCAUUCCCUGGUUGACUGUCUCCAUGAGGCCAUGGGUAGCUGCAGAGGAAACAUCUUGUCUCGUCCAUCUUUGUGGCCACAGAGUCUAGCACAGUGCCCAGCACAGGAGGACAUGCCCACCCUUGAGUGAGUGGAGAGAUUUAGUUACACAGACAUAUCUGAAGUUACUUUCAAUUAUAUGUGAUUGAUCACUUUUCUUAUACCAUAAGCUCUGAUUUUUCAUUGAAGCUUGGACUAGUCCUGUUUAAUCAUACUAUAUCAUAUAUGACUCAGUGUGAUCCAAUGCAACAAACUCUUUUAAGUAGCUACUGUGCAAAACAAUAUGUGAGACUGCUGUGUGAUAUGAAAAUCUAACAAGACCCUUUCUCUAGAAAAGAUGUUCUUAAUAUUCUUUCUACUUUAAAAAAUAUUUGGCCGAUAGUAUACAUGGGAGUACCUAGAUUUUGAAAAAAAUAAACUUGAGGAAAUAGAAAAAAUAAUUGUUACCAAAGUUUUAAAGGGGAGAGUUCUAAUAAGCAUUUUACAAACACAAAUGAUGAAAUGAGGCAUUUAAAGAUCUCAGAAAUUGUAACAUUAAAAAAAAAGAAAUAGAGCCAAUUAUUCAAUAGUUAAAGUUUACUGUUUAAAAAAUGAGUCUUGAUCUUUUUUCCAGAUCUUCACCCUAAAUGUAUGUUCAUAAGGUAUGCAAAUAGAGCAGAAACACAAUGCAUUUUAUUUUAUUUUUUAAAAUAUAGUAUAUAGAAUAUAUAGAUUUUAACAUUAUUAUUAAUAUAAGUAGUUUUGGCAAUUUCACUUCCAUCAUUGAUUCAUCUACUUUUGAUUUGAUAAUGUUAGCUGUUCAAACUGUUGAAUAUAAAUGUUCAUAAUCUCCCAUUUGUGUACAAUUGUAUACACAGGCUUGUUUCUAAUUAAAAUAUAUCUAUAAAUAAAGUUUAAAAAGUAAUUAUAAAAUCAUAA